UGCCACUUGAGGUUGAGAUGUGUGUGAGU
rnacentral:piRNA from 1 species